rnacentral:lncRNA from 1 species
UGGAACUGUCUUUCUUUAGCUUGGGGCAUUCAUUCCUGUAGUGACCUGUUUCUUUACAUUCAUAACAAGUAAUAUCUUUGUUAGUUUUACCUUUUGAGGUUGAUUCUGAUCGAUCCCCUCUGGGUCUUGGUCUUCUGAAGUUGUUGUUCCUCUUUUUCCAGAGUUGUUUAACUCUUCUGGUCAGGAGGGACAAUUCUUCUUCCUCAUCAGAAUCUUCUUGUUCAGAGUCAUCUGCAUCUUCUGUCUCGGCCUGGAAUGCUUUGGUUCU